AGAGUUUGAUCAUGGCUCAGGAUGAACGCUGGCGACGUGGAUAAGGCAUGCAAGUCGAACGGUUGUAGCAAUACAACAGUGGCGAACGGGUUAGUAACACGUAGAUAUCAACCCUUUACUCGGGCAUAACCUGGAGAAAUCUAGGCUAAUUCCCGAUAGUCCGGAAACGGUAAAGAUUUUUCGGUAAAGGAUGAGUCUGCGUCCUAUCAGCUAGUUGGUGAGGUAAUGGCCCACCAAGGCAAUGACGGGUAGGCGGAGUGAGAGCUUGACCGCCAACAAUGGCACUGGAACAUGGGCCAUACUCCUACGGGAGGCAGCAGUCGAGAAUAUUUGACAAUGGGCGAAAGCCUGAUCAAGCGACGUCGCGUGUGGGAUUAAGAUCUUCGGAUUGUAAACCACUUUUCUAGGGGAAGAACUUUGACUGUACCCUAGGAAUAAGGGGUGACUAAACUCGUGCCAGCAGUAGCGGUAAUACGAGUGCCCCAAGCGUUAUCCGGAUUUAUUGGGCGUAAAGGGUCUGUAGGUGGUUUGUUAAGUUUCUCGUUAAAGCUCCAGGGCUUAACCUUGGAAAAGCGGGAAAAACUGGCAAACUAGAGGAUGUUAGAGGCUGAUGGAACACUUGGUGAAGGGGUGGAAUCCGUUGAUAUCAAGUGGAACACCGAAAGCGAAGGCAAUCAGCUGGGACAGUCCUGACACUGAAAGACGAAAGCGUGGGGAGAGAAAAGGAUUAGAUACCCUUGUAUUCCACGCCUUAAACGAUGAAUACUGGCUAUUGCAAGUGUCGACCCUUGCAGUGGCGAAGCUAACGCGUUAAGUAUUCCGCCUGGGAAGUACGGCCGCAAGGCUAAAACUCAAAUGAAUUGACGG
rnacentral:rRNA from 1 species